GCGCGAUUAGCUCAGGGGGAGAGCGCUUCCCUGACACGGAAGAGGUCACUGGUUCAAUUCCAGUAUCGCGCACGA
rnacentral:tRNA from 1 species